rnacentral:rRNA from 1 species
AAGUUUGCCGUGUAAAUUUGGGAAACCCGGGUAAAGGGAAUUUGGAAAAAUUAAACUGGGUGGGAGGGUACGGUUUCCCAGGUAGGGGAAUUCCUAUCCUGGAGGCCCCUGUGGGAAGGCGGUAAUGGACGACCUGACGUGAGGGAGAAAACAAGGGCCGGACCGGAUAGAUACCCCGGUAGUCUGGCGGUAAAGAANUGGCUNNGUGUGGGAUGCUUCGAGUGUUUCAGUGCGAAGGGAAGCUGUAAAGUCACGNNCUGGGAAGUACGGUCGCAAGACUGNAACUAANNGNAAUNGCNGGGGAGCANCACAACGCGUGGAGCUGCGGNUUUAAUGGAUUCAACGCCGGACAUCUCACCAGGAGCGACAGCCGUAUGAUAGCCAGGUUGAUGACCUUGCUUGACAAGCUGAGAGGAGGUGCAUGGCCGCCGUCAGCUCGUACCGUGAGGGUUCCUGUUAAGUCAGGUCAACGAGCGAGACCCAAAUCACUAGGAAUUC